UUGAAACAAUUAAAUUUAUUCUAGUAUAAUUUGUUGAAAAUGGCUCUAUUUAGUUGUUAAAUGCUAUAAUUUAUCAAAAAUUAAGCUACUAUUUGUUUAAUUAGGGUUUUCGUAAGUAAUUGCUUCAAUAAUUCUGAUGUCAUCAAUUUUGUUAAAUUAAUUUUGCAUUUUUGCUGGUUUGAUUGAGAGAAAGAGAACGAUUAAGGUGAGCAAUCUUCUUAAUACUCUUCCUGUUCUACAGUCUUACCGUAGUACUACAUUUUUUUAAUCUUAUUUAUGGUUUCCUUGCGUUUUGUUUAAAUUUUUGUGUUUUCAAUUUUUCUGAUUCUGCUCAAUUUUUUUUAUUCUUUACUAUUCAAUUGAUCUAAAUGUAUUGGCUGACGAGAUCAUUGAAUUGUUUGUGAGCUAAUUGCAGCCCACCAUCCCAUUAUUGAGUCUUCAGAAGCAGGUGCAUGAGCAGUUGGUAUGCUGGAACCUACAGAAUAACAUGCUCAGAAAUACAGCAAGGUUCAGUACACUUGUUGAAUUGGUCCCCGCAAAACUAUGAGGCUAGGGCGGGAUGAAAAUUAGAGGUAAAUUUAGGUGCAUGGAUGCAAACUAGUGUCAAGUAAAUCUAAUAAGUCAUAAAAAUAAUAUGCCAAGAAUUUGGGCAUCUUAAUAUGAACAUCUUGCAUUCUUGUCAAACUUUUGGGACGGUAGGUAGAGCCA